rnacentral:snoRNA from 1 species
UCCCGAGAUGAUAACUAGAUGAUCGGCCCUCUUGUAAAAUUUACUUUUCCACGGCCCUUGUCCUUUAAGUUCUCGGAACAUUAAUUGGAAGCCACCUCUUUUCAUUCCUUUUCCCUCGCUUUAAGGGCGAGGUUUUGGUGGGAGAGGGGUGGCUUCCGUCGGGAACCUUU